UUUUUAUAUUCUUUAAUGAUUGUCUUUUAGAUUUAUUAAUAGUCAUUAUAAAUCCUACCUAUAUUGGAUACUUUGUUCCAACUUGAAUAAUAUCUUUACAAGAGAUAGACAUAAUAUAAUCCUUAGAAGAAAAAUGAAUUGUUCUUCAUAGUCUUCAAAUAAAUAUCUUGCUUCUAUAAGACAAUCAUUAAUCUACAUAAUGACUAAAUUUGAUCUAUUACAAAAUCCUUCAUAUAGAGAAUAUUUUUGUAAUAAUAUAAUAGAACAUCUAAUCUUUAGCUCUAAAGUAAAUGGUAGCAAUGGAAAUAGACUUAAGCUAUUCAAAUAUUUGGUUAGAUAACAAUUACCAUUGUAAGUACCAUCUUCUAUAAUUACUAUAUCUGCAUUGAGAUAAACACAUGAAAUUCCA
rnacentral:lncRNA from 1 species